GAUGAACGCUAGCUACAGGCUUAACACAUGCAAGUCGAGGGGUAGCAGGGUAGCAAUACCGCUGACGACCAGCGCACGGGUAAGUAACACGUAUCCAACCUACCGUUUACUCGGGGAUAGCCUUUCGAAAGAAAGAUUAAUACCCGAUAGUAUAAAGAGUUCGCAUGUUCUCUUUAUUAAAGGAUUCCGGUAAAUGAUGGGAUGCGUUCCAUUAGAUUGUUGGCGGGGUAACGGCCCACCAAGUCUUCGAUGGAUAGGGGUUCUGAGAGGAAGGUCCCCCACAUUGGAACUGAGACACGGUCCAAACUCCUACAGGAGGCAGCAGUGAGGAAUAUUGGUCAAUGGGCGUUAGCCUGAACCAGCCAAGUAGCGUGAAGGAUGACUGCCCUAUGGGUUGUAAACUUCUUUUAUAAGGGAAUAAAACGGGGAACGUGUUCCCCUUUGCAUGUACCUUACGAAUAAGGAUCGGCUAACUCCGUGCCAGCCGCCGCGGUAA
rnacentral:rRNA from 1 species